rnacentral:rRNA from 1 species
CGCGUAGGCGGCUGGGUAAGCGUGUGGUGAAAGCCCGGGGCUCAACCCCGGGUCGGCCAUGCGAACUGUCCAGCUGGAGCACGGUAGAGGCACAUGGAAUUCCGGGUGUAGCGGUGGAAUGCGUAGAGAUCCGGAAGAACACCGGUGGCGAAGGCGGUGUGCUGGGCCGUGGCUGACGCUGAGGCGCGACAGCGUGGGGAGCAAACA